rnacentral:tRNA from 1 species
AGGGUCUUAGCUCAGUUGGUAGAGCAGCGGUCUCCAAAGCCGCGUGUCGCGGGUUCAAUUCCCUCAGACCCUG